UACGUAGGGGGCAAGCAUUGUCCGGAAUCAUUGGGCGUAAAGCGCGUGUAGGCGGUCCGGUAAGUCCGCUGUGAAAGUCGGGGGCUCAACCCUCGGAUGCCGGUGGAUACUGUCGGGCUUGAGUACGGAAGAGGCGAGUGGAAUUCCUGGUGUAGCGGUGAAAUGCGCAGAUAUCAGGAGGAACACCAAUUGCGAAGGCAGCUCGCUGGGACGUUACUGACGCUGAGACGCGAAAGCGUGGGGAGCAAACAGG
rnacentral:rRNA from 1 species